rnacentral:rRNA from 1 species
AACGAACGCUGGCGGCAUGCCUAACACAUGCAAGUCGAACGAGACCUUCGGGUCUAGUGGCGCACGGGUGCGUAACGCGUGGGAACCUGCCCUUAGGUUCGGAAUAACUCCCCGAAAGGGGUGCUAAUACCGGAUAAUGUCUUCGGACCAAAGAUUUAUCGUCUUUGGAUGGGCCCGCGUUGGAUUAGCUAGUUGGUAGGGUAAAAGCCUACCAAGGCGACGAUCCAUAGCUGGUCUGAGAGGAUGAUCAGCCACACUGGGACUGAGACACGGCCCAGACUCCUACGGGAGGCAGCAGUGGGGAAUAUUGGACAAUGGGCGAAAGCCUGAUCCAGCAAUGCCGCGUGAGUGAUGAAGGCCUUAGGGUUGUAAAGCUCUUUUACCCGGGAUGAUAAUGACAGUACCGGAAGAAUAAGCUCCGGCUAACUCCGUG